rnacentral:misc_RNA from 1 species
AGCAAGCUGUCGACACUAACAAGAAUAAGGUUGCCGACCUCUCCGAAUUCCAAGCCCUCUUCGACCAGUACGAUCUGAACAAGGACGACCAGGUGCCCGUGGCGGAGUACUUGCAGGCAACUGGAGGCGUGGGGAAAGGACCAGCUGCGUUCUUCGCCCUCCUCGACCCCAACAACGACGGCGUUAUUCACAAAUCAGAAUUGCCUGCCGUUCUUAGCAAAUUCGACGUCAAUGGCAAUGGCAAGGUCUCGGAGGAAGAGUUUAUCAAGCAUUAUGGUGAUCUUUACAAUAAAGUCCUCGCCAUGCAGAUUUCCAUUGGUAAAUAGAUGCCGGUUUUAUGAAUAAAGAUAUUUCAACA